CUGACGCGAUGUCCAGAUUUGGAUGUCUCAUCUUUGAACAACUGAAACGCCGAGUACUCCAUGAAAGCUUGCCUAGCCGCUUUUGCGCAAUAUUAUACCUUUGGACGUUUGCACUUCCGCGGCUCUAGACAUGAGCUUCCUUAUAUGAGUGCUAGCGCGCUACAUUGCAGAGAAAGCUUUGAGAAAAUGCUUUGUUGGGAUGAUAGACAAGAAUAAUCAAUCCUCAUUCCAAGGUUUGGAUUUUCUUCAACCCGCAAGGCCCAUCCAGUUGUGAGCUACAAUGA